AGGAUGGGGCCAGGAGGAAUUGCGCAACACACAGACACCCAAAUGCUUCAAUGCAAAUUUCAAUGUAUUAGAUUAUAGAAUUCACGCUGGCUGACAGAUACACCAGGGAACCAGCAGAUGGCAUGCCCUAAUAAGAAUAACUAAAUGUGGGAACUCUUAAAAUCCUGUCCAAUUCAUUAAAUGUAUUGAGCGCCUGCCUUGUAAUAAGAAGCAGAAUGAGAAUACAAGGUUAAAAAAGAAACCGAAAGAGGAAGACUAGAAACUGCAAUAUACAAAUAACUAAUAGAAGGCUCCCACAGGUAACAGCUGUUGCAGAGUUAUGAACAAGUGCUGGAGGUUACCAACAAGUUCAAAAUUCCAGAACAGGUUCUUUUGUCAGUGUAAAGCAGUUCUUACAGGCGGCAGUCAGCAACAAGAAAAAGCAAAACAAAACAGCAACAAAAGACUGUCCUCACUAUGUUUGUUUUCCUACAUAAAUAAGAAUGCAUUCUCCUCCGACUUAAAGGUUCAUCCAGAAAGAGACCCGUUUUAACAGCAUCGGGAGUGCUGUGUGAAGUUCCCGCUCAUUAAAGACUUCGUAUUGGUGGUUACAACAUGGAAUGAAAGAGACAUGGGAUUAUAGAGAGCAUCUCCUUUAGCCCUGUUGGAUUUGAAUAUUUUCAUCCCUGAAAAGGCGGCCUCUUUCUUCCUGCCUCUCAACCAACGCCUUCUUGGCCUCCUCUUGUCCUGCACCUCAUCAUCUGACUACUGUCCUCCCAAAAGAACUUGAGCCACUCGGUCCACGCCGGCUAUGUUCACAGUGAGCUCAAUGUCUGUGACACUGUAACGUUACUUUCUUUAUUUUAAGAGACAGGAAUGGCUUUGUCGCGGAGGCCACAGUGUAGUGGCACAACAAUAGCUCACCACAGCUUUGAAAUUCUGGGCUCAAGCAAUCCUCCCAGGCUAUUUUUUUAAUUUUUAUUUUUGUAGAGACAAGAUCUUGCUAUGUUCCCGCAGGCUGGUCUCCAACUCCUGGCUCAAGAGAUCCUCUUUCCUCACCUUCCCAAAAUGCUGGGAUUACAGGCAUGCAUCACCUUGUUCAGUCCCAAACAUUAAUUACUUUUAAGGGGGAUAUUUCAAACAAAAGAAAGGUUUGAACACUUUCAUAAGAAACGCCCUUGAUUCUCCACAGAGAUUUUUAAACAAUGUUACAUUUGUGUGUAUUUCAUAGAUACAGUAGAACCGUCUUUUGUCUCAUUCCCCUCCCUGCCCUCCUAGAGGCAGUCAUUGUCACUGGUGUGCAGCCUUUGUCCUUUUUAAGCUUUUAUUGUAUGUAGAUUUGCCCUCAUAAACAUUAUAUAGUAUUGCUAGUUUUUUUUUUUUCUGAAGAGGCAUCAUCACUUACAUGUAUUGUGUUGUUUUUUUUUUUUCCACUCAAGGUUCCUUUGGUGAGAUUUAGUCACAACGAUACAGUAGUGAUCAUUUCUACAUCAUUCCCACGACGUUGAGCUAUGAUGUGUCCUAUGCCUCAGUGUUUACAAGAUGGUGCGUAAAUUGAAUAAAAAAGCACGUCACAGCGCA
rnacentral:lncRNA from 13 species